rnacentral:rRNA from 1 species
UACGAAGGGGGCAAGCGUUGUUCGGAAUUAUUGGGCGUAAAGGGAGCGUAGGCGGUUCGGCAAGUCUUUAGUGAAAUCUCCCGGCUCAACUGGGAGGGUGCGCCGAAUACUGAGUGACUCGAGUGCGGGAGAGGAGAGUGGAAUUCCUGGUGUAGCGGUGAAAUGCGUAGAUAUCAGGAGGAACACCGGUGGUGUAGACGGCUCUCUGGACCGUAACUGACGCUGAGACACGAAAGCGUGGGUAGCAAACAGG